UAGUGUGCCACUUCUAAGAACUAUUGAAACACUUUCAUUACCUCAUUAUUUUGUGAAUCCCACUCAACUCCAAUGGUGCUAGCUUUCAUUGUGUUUGUACUGAUGCUACUCUUAACUGAUGUAGUCUCGUCGCACUUCAUCGUUGAGACUCUUCCUGGAUUUGAUGGACAACUUCCAUUUAAACUUGAAACAGGUUAUAUUGGUGUUGGAGAAGAGGAAAAAUUGCAGCUAUUUUACUUUUUUGUAGAAUCUGAGAGGGACCCACAAAAUGAUCCUCUCGUGAUUUGGCUCACUGGAGGUCCUGGUUGCUCUGGUCUAUCUACCUUUCUAUAUGAAUUUGGCCCUUUAACAUUUGAUUAUGCAAAUUCUAGUGGAAAUUUCCCUAAAUUGGAGUUGAACUUACAUUCUUGGACCAAGGUGGCAAACAUAAUAUUUAUAGACCAACCUGUUGGCACUGGAUACUCAUAUGCAAAGACUUCAGAAGCUUAUAAUUCCAAUGAUACCCUCUCUGCAACUCUAACUUAUGACUUCCUUAGAAAGUGGCUUAUGGAUCAUCCCGAGUAUCUCAAGAAUCCACUAUAUGUUGGUUCUGAAUCCUACGCAGGCAUUUAUAGUGCAUUGGUUACUCGCAAAAUAUAUGAUGGUGUUGAAGUUGGUGAUGAGCCUCAAAUGAAUAUCAAAGGAUAUAUACAAGGCAAUGCUCUAACAGAUACAUACAUUACCGUGAAUAGUAGAAUCAAAUAUGCUUAUCAUAUGGGACUUAUUUCAGAUAAGAUCUACCAGUCCGCUAAAGCAAAUUGCAAUGGGAAUUACGUUGACAUUGAUCCAAAUAACAUAUUAUGUGUAAAUGAUCUUCAGAAAGUAAAAAAGUGUCUCAACAAUAUUCAAAGCCAUCAUAUUUUAGAAAAUUGGUGUGAUCUUUCACUUUUAAGGAGCAAUGUCCACUCAGGACCAUGGUGUCGAGAAAAUAAUUACAUAUACUCAAAGAUUUGGGCAAACGAUAAAGCUGUCCAGAAAGCACUAAACGUCCGUGAGGGAACAAUAUUGGAGUGGGUGAGAUGCAAUAACAGCAUGAAAUACAGCGCUCGUGAAAGUAUGAAGAGAUCUGGGUCAUAUGUGUAUGAAAUCCAAAGUUCAAUUGAUGAUCAUCGUCAUCUCACUAGCAAAUCCUGCCGAGCUCUAAUUUAUAGUGGUGACCAUGAUAUGAUUAUUUCUCAUGUGAGCACUGAAGAAUGGAUAGACACUUUGAAAUUGCCAAUUGUAGAUGAUUGGGAGCCUUGGUUUGUUGAAGAUCAAGUUGCAGGAUACAAGGUGAAGUAUCUACAAAAUGAUUAUGAGUUGACAUAUGCAACUGUUAAGGGUGCGGGUCAUACAGCUCCUGAAUACAAGCCUCGACAAUGCAUGUCUAUGGUUGAUAGGUGGUUUUCCGGUGACCCUCUUUAAUUUCAACUUUCUAAGACGUUAAUGUACUUAUUUGUUUCUUUCCAUCGACAUAAGUAAUCGUGUGUGUUCUGUAAUCUUGACAUGGAAAAUAAAUGUAUGAUUUGAGGUCGACAUUAUUGAUCUAUUUGAGAUAUUUGGGGCCUUGC